rnacentral:rRNA from 1 species
GGACUACCGGGGUUUCUAAUCCUGUUUGCUCCCCACGCUUUCGUGUCUCAGCGUCAGUCUUCGUCCAGUUGGCCGCCUUCGCCACCGGUGUUCCUCUCGAUAUCUACGAAUUUCACCUCUACACCGAGAAUUCCACCAACCUCUCCGAGACUCAAGCUACGCAGUAUCGAGUGCACUUCCCGGGUUGAGCCCGGGGCUUUCACAUCCGACUUACGUAGCCGCCUACACACGCUUUACGCCCAGUAAUUCCGAACAACGUUUGCACCCUCUGUCUUACCGCGGCGGCUGGCAC